GUGCUCUUUUCAGCAGCACUUAUAUUAAAACUGGCAAGAUACAGAGAUUAACAUGGCUCCUGUACAAGGGUAACACAAAAAUUCAUGAAGCAUUCCAUAUUUUU
ensembl:snRNA U6 U6 spliceosomal RNA